UGGAUGUGGAAGCAUAGUGAUAUGUGAAGCUGACCAAUACUAAUUGCUCGUGAGGCUUGACUAUACAACACCCAAGCAGUUG
rnacentral:rRNA from 1 species